AAGCUCACCAGAGCAGCCGGCUGUGAGCCGCGCACCGCCAGCCGGACAGCAGCACCGGCUGGGGAGAACCGCUCGGAACGAAGUCAGAACGCAGCGGCACCGUCGGGGCGGUGACUCCUGGCCCUCCCUGCCCUCCCGUAGCCUCGGCUGCCGGCUGAGCCCCGAGCGCGGGGCAGCCUCACCUCCCGGGAAGCGACUUACCUUGAUGUCCCACUCCUUCAGCACAGCACCCGGCCGAGGCAGCGAGCAGCAUGUGCGAGCCUCCCGAGUGGGAGAUCUUUUUCCUCUGCUCUUCCAAUGGUAGUGCUUCCGCCAGGAGGGGAUGCCAGCGGUUGGAUGCUACGCAUUCCCCACGGGACACGCCGAGCAGCGGCACAGACGUCGCUGGGGAUCUAAUACAGAGACCGCCUGCAGAUUACAUCGUGUUGCCUUCUUGGGCUGCCGCAGGGAUCAUCUGAGAGGAUGAUUCGGGCACCUUUCAUCAGCUCUGUUAGUUUGACAACCCUUUGCAAGUCCAGAUGGACCAAUAAAGUGGAGAAGAAAAUCUUGUUCAAUUUUUGCUGCUCUGCUGAAAGCAGAAUGAAGCGGUGCUUCCACCUCCGCCCCGCAGCUGAGCCCUGAUGGGCCUGCCUCAGCCACACGGGCUGCCAGCUCCCCUCGGCGGCCCUGCGCUCACAUGGGAAAGAGGCAGGAAGAAAACUGACGCUGCUCACUUGUCUUCAUCUGCAGCCAUUCCCUCUCUUCAAAAGGACAAGCAAUCU
rnacentral:lncRNA from 1 species